rnacentral:rRNA from 1 species
CGAACGCUGGCGGCGUGCUUAACACAUGCAAGUCGAACGAAGAGCGAUGGAAGCUUGCUUCUAUCAAUCUUAGUGGCGAACGGGUGAGUAACGCGUAAUCAACCUGCCCUUCAGAGGGGGACAACAGUUGGAAACGACUGCUAAUACCGCAUACGAUCUAAUCUCGGCAUCGAGGAUAGAUGAAAGGUGGCCUCUACAUGUAAGCUAUCACUGAAGGAGGGGAUUGCGUCUGAUUAGCUAGUUGGAGGGGUAACGGCCCACCAAGGCGAUGAUCAGUAGCCGGUCUGAGAGGAUGAACGGCCACAUUGGGACUGAGACACGGCCCAGACUCCUACGGGAGGCAGCAGUGGGGAAUCUUCCGCAAUGGACGAAAGUCUGACGGAGCAACGCCGCGUGAGUGAUGACGGCCUUCGGGUUGUAAAGCUCUGUUAAUCGGGACGAAAGGCCUUCUUGCGAACAGUUAGAAGGAUUGACGGUACCGGAAUAGAAAGCCACGGCUAACUACGUG